AUCAAAUACCAAAUGAUCAGCCCUGGAAACAACCAUACAAGUAGCUCUAUACAGACUGGGUACCAACUGUAAUUUUCAGAGUCAAAAAUUGGAAAGCUGCUUGACAGCCUUAGAAAUGCUACAAGAAAUAAUUGCUUUUACAAAGUAGAAUCCAGGGAGUGUGGUCCAAAGCACCUACUACUCAAGUGACCCUGUAAAACCAAGAUCUGAGGCUCCCUGAUAAGAGAUAAUCACACAAAAUAUGGGGAAGAGAAAUCUAAAGCUGAGUCCUGGGAGGAACUCCUACUUGGAUGAGAAGAGCUUUUCAAAAAGUUGCUUGACAAUGCCCAGAACUCACAUUUAAGGACUAUGAAGAAAAGAACGAAGUAAUGAAACUGAAGAAUACCAUCUCUUCUCCAAAAAUAAACUUGUUAACAUGCAGAAACAAGGGGUCUGGAGAGAUGGCUCACCGACUACUCUGUCAAAGAUUAUGAGUUCAAUUCCUAGCACCAACCAUUUGUAAUGGAAUUCAAUGCUCUCUUCUGGUAUCUAAAGAGAGAUACAGUGUACUCAUAUAAUAAAAUAAAUGAAUAAAAAUUUUUAAAUAUUUAACAAGCAGAAACAAGAAAAGUUUGAGAAGAUAAAUAAAAACAUACUACAUUAUACUGAAAGACAGACAUCUAGCUGUAACAAAUGCAUUACAAGAAAUUUUAAUUAAAGAAAAAAGUGAGAUUUAAAUAAACUCAUCUGAGAAUUG
rnacentral:lncRNA from 1 species